rnacentral:rRNA from 2 species
CACGUGGGCAACCUGCCCUUGAGACGGGGAUAACUCCGGGAAACCGGAGCUAAUACCGGAUAACACAUAUCUUCGCAUGAGGAUAUGUUAGAAGGUGGCUUUUAGCUACCACUCAAGGAUGGGCCCGCGGCGCAUUAGCUAGUUGGUGAGGUAACGGCUCACCAAGGCGACGAUGCGUAGCCGACCUGAGAGGGUGAUCGGCCACACUGGGACUGAGACACGGCCCAGACUCCUACGGGAGGCAGCAGUAGGGAAUCUUCCGCAAUGGACGAAAGUCUGACGGAGCAACGCCGCGUGAGUGAUGAAGGUUUUCGGAUCGUAAAGCUCUGUUGUUAGGGAAGAACAAGUACCUGUUGAAUAAGCAGGUACCUUGACGGUACCUAACCAGAAAGCCACGGCUAACUACGUGCCAGCAGCCGCGGUAAUACGUAGGUGGCAAGCGUUGUCCGGAAUUAUUGGGCGUAAAGCGCGCGCAGGCGGUUCCUUAAGUCUGAUGUGAAAGCCCACGGCUCAACCGUGGAGGGUCAUUGGAAACUGGGGAACUUGAGUGCAGAAGAGGAGAGCGGAAUUCCACGUGUAGCGGUGAAAUGCGUAGAGAUGUGGAGGAACACCAGUGGCGAAGGCGGCUCUCUGGUCUGUAACUGACGCUGAGGCGCGAAAGCGUGGGGAGCGAACAGGAUUAGAUACCCUGGUAGUCCAC